rnacentral:rRNA from 1 species
UGGUGUGUGUUUUGCACCGUGGAACCACCCCGUCCCAUCCCGAACCGGGUCGUGAAACAUGGUCGCGCCGAUGCUACUGGGGCCUGAGCCCUGGGAACGUAGGUCCACGCACCAC